CGCACACCACAUUACCGACUGACGGAAUGUUAUUCUAUUCUAUUCUUUGUAGAAUUUAAAUUUGCUCGAUCGAGCUUCUUCCACCAGACGGCAUUUAUCCUGGUGAUGUCACGACCCGGAAGUGAUAUACCCGUGGUUUUCUGAUCUCGCCCGGACGUGAAUUUCCAGCGCUGAGGGUCUACGUCCCAUGGUUGUGCCUUAACCGCCAAGCUGUUGAUCUUUGUAAACGGCUGAAAUAGCUCAGGGAUACAAACACCGGAUAUGGGGAGCCAGAAUGGGGUCAACUUCUUCGCGAUUUGAUGGGACAGUAUUUUAAAUCGUGUUAAAUCUUUAACGUGCUACUCUAGUUAAGUGGAACUGAAACAUCUGUGAAACGUCACUAUGAAACUGUAUUAGAGAUCUCGGACUGGAACAUCUUCUAUUUUUGUACAAACCAUUAUAGACAUCGAGCUCAACAUUUUCUUUUCUUCUGUUUAGUAAUUACUUGUUUUUUGGGGGUUUUUUCUAUUCACUGUAAAUAUUCAUUUUCCGUAAAUAAAUUUGUAACUGUU
rnacentral:lncRNA from 1 species